UGAAUGGAUUGAUCUCAUAUUCGGGUAUAAGCAGCGUGGCAAAGAAGCUAUAAUGGCAAAUAAUUUUUUCUUUUACAUUACCUAUGAAGGGACAAUGGAUAUUGAUAAGAUCUCAGACCCAGUACAACAGCGUGCAACACAGGACCAGAUUGCAUACUUUGGGCAAACGCCAUCCCAACUGCUUACCUUCCCUCACUUGAAGAGGUUGCCAUUAGCAGAUGUUCUUCAUUUACAGUGAUUCAUGAACAGUGGAAGGUGUCGUUUCUGUAACACGAAACCCAUCUUUUGGCUAUCCGCUGGCAUCUCUCUGAAGGUGUACUAUCUUAUGUGGGAUUGGGAUGAAAUUUUUAGCAUGGGGAUCGGUUAAUGGUAUCUAACAUACUACUAAGGCCGCUCCAUCAUCUGCUAGCUUGAGAAGUGAUGAAAGCGUCGAUAAAAGAGAGAAAUUGGCCGCAAAAUCCAAUGCGAAAGUAACAGAGAACACACUCCCAACCAAAGUCAAAGAAUUAUUGGCGAGAGUAUAAAAAAAGCAGCGGUUGUGGAUCCAAUUGAAUCUGACAAGGUUCUGAAAGCAGCCCAAGAACAUGGCGUCGGAACUGCGGUCCAGUGGCUGUAUAGAAGAAAAGGACAACGCAUGCUCUCUCUCUCUCUCUCUCUCUCUAUCAUAGUAGCUCCGUGUUCCUCUCCCCCCCCAAACCUAAUGGAUUCGGCCCAAUUCGGAGCUCCAGGUGAGAUAAUUUUCCCCAAAUUGUAUUCAAUCUAUGUUGCUUCAUUUCAUUUUCCAAUUUAAUUUGGAAUUGUUGAUAUUUUAGGCAGGUAUCACAUGUAUAACCACAACAAUUUUUGUGUUGGAUUGGGGUCAAAGUGUCUAGCUUUAUUAGCUAUUUGGUCACCUGUGUAUUUGUAAUCUGAAUAAUAUGAAUUAGGGCUUUUCUGGUAGUGUCCGAUUGGUCAAGAAAGGAUGCUUCUUUUUUGUUAUCAUGCAUAUUUAAGCUGUAAACAUCUGAAAAACUGCUUAAUUGAAGUGAGAUUUCCAGUUUUUGAGCUCAGUUUCAGGUCUUGAGCAUUGAA